ACAUGCCUACAACAUAGUGUUAAUGCAUUGGAUCCCAUUAUAACUCUGUAGUUAAGUGCACUCAGGCUAGAGUAGUACUGGGUUGGGCGACCACCCGGGAAGUAAUAGUGUUUUACAUGCC
rfam:Picea glauca, whole genome shotgun sequence.